GAUGAACGCUGGCGGCGUGCCUAAUACAUGCAAGUCGAGCGAACAGACGAGGAGCUUGCUCCUCUGACGUUAGCGGCGGACGGGUGAGUAACACGUGGAUAACCUACCUAUAAGACUGGGAUAACUUCGGGAAACCGGAGCUAAUACCGGAUAAUAUAUUGAACCGCAUGGUUCAAUAGUGAAAGACGGUUUUGCUGUCACUUAUAGAUGGAUCCGCGCCGCAUUAGCUAGUUGGUAAGGUAACGGCUUACCAAGGCAACGAUGCGUAGCCGACCCGAGAGGGAGGAUCGGCCACCUGGAACCGAGGACGCGUCCCGACUCCGAACGGGAGACACAGUUGGGAAUCCUACGGAAUGGGGCAAAGGCGUACCGGGCCAACGCGGCGUAAGUGUGAAGGUCCUUCGAUUCGUAAACCAUUGUAUUAGGGAAGAACAAAUGUGUAAGUAACUAUGCACGUCUUGACGGUACCUAAUCAGAAAGCCACGGCUAACUACGUG
rnacentral:rRNA from 1 species